GAGACCAAGAUGGCCACCUAAGUGUUGGUGAGCAGUUUUCAAACCUCUGUUUUGAAUCCACUGAACUCAAAAGCAUGGAUACUCCGUAUGUGUUGUUGCAGGAAUCAGUUUUCCAGGGAUUUCUCACUUAUAUCAGCAAGCACAUUAAUUUAUACAUCAACAUCCCAACAGCUCCCUGGAG